CUCUUCCUCUUCGUAUUCUCUUCUUCCUGACUUGAAUCUUCUUCCUAUUAUCGCUCCCCAUUCCAGAACCAUCUCAGUUUGAUCAUGUGUAGCUCCAAAUCAAUCUGAUUUCAUCUUUUUUCCUUAUCUAAUUUUGUAUUUUUGGCUCUGCAGGUACAAAGAUUUGAUUGUGCAUCGCCACUCAAGAUCGACGGUGUUUUACUCGCACCCGAUGAAUCGUCGAUGGCUAUGUGGAUUGUGUAUUAGGAGUUUCUGCGUCGCCAUGAACCCAUAAUCUUUGGCUCCGUUCUUUCUCCGGUCAUUGGAUUCACAUGGGAUUCUGCCCCCAGACUGUGUUGGUUGGUCACAGAAAUAUUGAUUUCGGGCUCUCUCUCUCUCUCUCUCUCUCUCUCUCUCUCUCUCUCUCUGAAUAGGAUGGUACUCCCUCCGUCCCCAAAAACAUGUCGCGAGUGGAUAUUUGCAAUUUAGUCCUCCAUGUUUUCCCGACCGAACCCGAGGUCCCUCUUCUUCCUCGCUCUCGCUCUCACUCUCUCCCGGCCGAACCCGACGACGGGCGCCGCCUUGCCGCCCCUCUCCGCCACCGCUCCUCCCGCCCCACGCCGCCCCCGGCGCCCCUCUCCGCCACCGCUCCUCCCGCCCCACGCCGCCCCCACUGCCACCACCCCUCCCGCCUCACGCCCCACGCUGCCUCGUUCCCUGCCUCGUUCCCCAACGUGAAGCACGCAUUUUUUUGUCGAUCCUCCUGCCGUUCCUGUCCGACGACCAUGUGUUUACCUCACCGGGGCACGGCAGCGGGGCGCCCUCCUUUCUCGCAUUCCUGGCGCGGCGGCUGCUCGGCGGAUUGCAAAGAGGCAGGUGGAGGAGCUCACCAAGUAGCCCGCCGGAGUCAAAGGCAUUCGAGGAUAGGGACAAGCCGGCGGCGCAGCCAGUGACUGGAGCGGCGGCGCGAGCUCUGUCUCCGGGGAGAAGCCGAUGGGCGACGUCAGCGAGCUCGUCUCCAUGCGUUAACCCCUCUGUGCGUUGCGGGGUGGGGAGCCAACUCCGUGAGCUCGUCUUCGUGCGGCUACCGGGGGUUUGCCCCUCAGCUCGCCGCAAACUCUAUUUCCGGGGAGAAGCGGCGUCGGCGACUCCGUGAGGGCGGCCGCCGGCGCAAGCCCAGGUCGAUUUUCGGCGGCUUCGCUCAAGGCCAACGAUUGGGCGCGUGUGGUGGCAGUUCGAGGAGUGGCGACAUCUUCUGGUGGAUUGCUGUGUGUGCUUUGGUCUGAAAGUUUGUGAUUGGAAGGAGUGGCAACAUCUUCAGGUGGAAGGAGUGGCAGUUCAAGGACAUCUUCAACAGUGGUCUGAAUUGAUUCAGGAAAUACUUUGGCAUGGUAUAGUUUGACCAGCCACAGGACCAAAUCAGUUAACCUACUCCCUUUAGUUUGCAUCAAGGUUUGGAGACCAAUGAAUCCUAAAAACUGUGAGGUUUUGGUCUGCCAUGUCCCCAUAACAGAGCAAGAUGAAGAUAAAGAGCUUUAUAAAUUCCCAUUGACUGACUGAAUUAUACUCUGAUCAUAAUUGACACUUGCUGGCUGAAUUAUACUCUGAUCAUAAUUGACACUUGACAGUUUACACUCCACAUCCACUCCAUACCUUUCCCUGGAGUACAGUUUACACUUGACAGUGUUUGUUCAGAUCAUAAUUGCUCUGCUGAUAUCUACUGAUUUUUUUCAGUUAACACUAAUCAUAUUCAGUUAACAUUGUUCUUCCUGAUGAACAGGAGCAGAGCAGCAACUCCUUACAGUACACUGAUCAUAUUCAGCACAGGGAGCAGAGGAGCAACUCCUUACGGUACCUUCUUUCUUCUGACGAGCAGGAGCUCUGGCGGCAGCACCGGCAGACGAGCAGCAGCAGUACUAGUAGACGAGCAGAAGCUGUACGGGCAGAGGAGCUCCACCGGCGGUAGGGGAGAAGCAGCCGCACGGGCGCGCGGGCAGAGGAGAAGGAGUUGCACGGGCUCGCGCAGGAGAUUGAGGAGGACGCGCGGGAGAUCGAGGAGGCAGCGCGCGAGCUCCUGGUCCACCGGAUCGUGGAGGCAAUUUCCGGCGACGCCCGUAGGGGAUCGCAGCCGGGAGGAAUUGCGGCGGCGCACACACGGGAGCUCGAGGAGGAUGCGCUGGAGCUUGAGGAGGAUGCGCUGGAGCUCGAGGUGGACGCCCGCGAGCUCGAGGAGGACGUGGCCGGAGGUCCCGACGACGCCCGCAGGUAAUCGAGGCGGGAGGGGAUCGCGGUGACGCAGGUCUGAGCGGGGGAGGCGGCGGAGCAGGUACUUGGCGACGGCGGCGGAGCACUUCCUGAUGGGCGGCGAUGACGACGACGGCGGUAGCUGGGCGGCGCCGGCCGUAUCGACGACGGAGGAAGAAGACAGGGGCGGAGGGGCUUCUUUCAGACGAUUUUAAAAUUACGAGGGCUUUUUUGCAAAAUUACCCAUGAACUGUGCCCACGACAUGUUUUUCGGGGCGGAGGGAGUAUAUUUAUAUUCACAUAAUAUUGAUAUCUGAAUUAUUACAUAACCUUGUACCUGAUGUACACGAUUUUUUUAAAGGAACGAUUUCGACGAA